GGGUUUGUAGCUCAGUUGGUUAGAGCACUACGUUCACAUCGUAGGGGUCAUAGGUUCGAGUCCUAUCAAACCCA
rnacentral:tRNA from 1 species